rnacentral:tRNA from 1 species
CUGAAAAUCCUCAAUCGGGAUAUUGUUUCA